rnacentral:rRNA from 1 species
AGGGUUUGAUCAUGGGGCUCAGAAUGAACGCUGGCGGCAUGGAUUAGGCAUGCAAGUCGAACGGUAACGCUACUAGCUUGCUAGUAGGCGACGAGUGGCGCAAGGGUGAGUAACGCGUGAACAAUUCGCCUUUAAGUUUGGGAUAGCCCAUGGAAACGUGGAUUAAUACCGGAUAUGGCAGUUUUACCGCAUGGUUUUACUGUUAAAGUUUUUCGCUUAGAGAUGAGUUCGCGUCCCAUCAGCUAGUUGGUAGGGUAACGGCCUACCAAGGCUACGACGGGUAGCUGGUCUGAGAGGACGAUCAGCCACACUGGGACUGAGACACUGCCCAGACUCCUACGGGAGGCUGCAGUCGAGAAUCUUCCGCAAUGCGCGCAAGCGUGACGGAGCGAUGCCGCGUGCCGGAUGAAGGCCUUAGGGUCGUAAACGGCUGUCACCCGGGAUGAAUAAACUGACAGUACCGGGUAGAGGAAGCCACGGCUAACUACGUGCCAGCAGCCGCGGUAAAUACGUAGGUGGCGAGCGUUAUUCGGAUUUAUUGGGCGUAAAGGGCUUCGCAGGGGGUUGUAUUA